rnacentral:lncRNA from 1 species
GAAAAACCCUUGUAAAACUAUUUUGACUAUUAUUAUUUUUUUGCAAAUUCUGGGUACUGUUAUUCCUUGGCUAAGUCAGACCUUAUUAGUUAUUAUUAUUACUGGCUGAGACAAGACCUCUAUAUUUUGGUUACUUGAGCAUCUCUCCUAUUUUUAUCCCUUUUCAGCCCAAAGAGACAAAGGAAAUUAUUUUGAAAUGUUGAUGGCAUCCGUGAGAGUUGAUCGCUUUUUAUUUUUUGAGCACUUUAUUCCUAGAUUUAUAAUCUGUGAAGGACUUUUCCUCUAUAUUUAAGCACCUUCCUGGUUUCCCAGUGUUCUGAGAAUCAGUAAUUAAUUACUUCUUUUACUAUGUAACCCUAUGCAGGUUUACUCAGAAGUAAAUUCCAUGGUGCUCAUUGGGACUUACUCCCAAGUAAGCGUGCAUAGGAUUAAUAGCAGAAAGCCAUUAGGAAUGUCAGUUUCAUGCCAGAGUUCAAAACAGUUGGUCACCUACCUAGCAAUCUGGGUUAAACUGAAAUUGACUUCAGAAAGUGGGCCAUCUUGGGUAUAAUAUCACACCAUGGUUUGCUCUAACUGCAACUUGAGGUGCAAUACCAUACAUGGUUGCUCAGAGACUUGGUCUCUGGCAAGUGAGUAUAGGAAUGCAGCCUCAGGCACCAAGCAUGAUUUGUGUUCCAGAUGUAGAGGAAAACCAUGGUUUGUGAGAUUGCCAUCUUUCCUUCACUUUCCCUGAGAAUUCAUAGCCAUUAUCCCCCAAAAAGCAGAUUCUUGACAAGAGGCCCAAGCUAUGGUUCGUUGGUUUAGAAAUAAAACCAAAGUUUGCCCACCCUCUCAAACAGUACUUUCAUAUCUCAGUGUGGAAGCUACUAGCAAACCAUUGUUUGUUGGAUGGCAUGGGUUCAGACAUCUUGAAAAACCAUGGUUUGCUGGUAAUUCUGAGUCAUCUCUAUGGGACAUCCCAGGGAUUUAAAAUCUGUUGAAUAGUCCACAAGCCAGUACAGUUAAAGUCAUUGUAUGUAAGCCAAAUUAAUCCCUUGGCUAUGGUAUCCACAAGGCUCUGAUAAAUGCUUGGACCAGGCAUAGGCAAACUCGGCCCUCCAGAUGUUUUGAGACUACAAUUCCCAUAAUCCCCGACCACUGGUCCUGUUAGCUAGGGAUGAUGGGAGUUGUAGUCCCAAAACAUCUGGAGGGUGGAGUUUGCCUAUGCCUGGCUUGGACUUUCCCAGGGGUAAAUCAUGGCUGCCACAUUCACUUCAGUGAUGGCCAAUACUCCAUCCAUCAACCAUUCUACGUUGCAAUACCUAUGGCAGCUUCUGCUGACCAGUGAUUCCAAGGGCCGUUUUCUGACAGAUUUAUGACUCAAUCUAAUUUUAUUUUAGACUGAACCCCCUCCCCCCGCCCUUUAUAUUUAAGAUGAUAGUCUUCAAAAAAUGAGAAACCUCAAGGAACAUAGAAAGCUGCCUUAUAUUGAGUCAAACCAGUCCAUACUGUCUUCCUAGCUCUCCAGGGCUUCAGGUAGGGGACAACUCCCAGCCAUACCUGGAAAUGUUGAGGAUUGAAUUUGGGACCUUCAACAUUCAAAGCAGAUACUUUCCCACUGAGUUAAUGGACUUUCCCAAAGAGAGCACAUUUGCCGUUUAUAUUUGUGAUUGGCUCUCAAGACUUUGACAUUAUUAUCAGUGCUAUCUUUCUAAAAAGAGAGGUGCCAGAACUCACCUUGUUCUCUUGUUAUGACAAUGGUGCCUACCUUGAGAGGUGUCGGAAGAAAAGCCCCGAAUAAUAAUAAUAUUACAGUCGUACCUUGGAAGUCGAACGGAAUCUGUUCCGGAUGUCCGUUCGACUUCCAAAACAUUCAGAAACAAAGCACAGCUUCUGAUUGGCUGCAGGAAGCUCCUGCAGCCAAUCGGAAUCCACGGAAGCCCCGUCAGAUGCUCGGGUUCCAAAGAACGUUUGCAAACUGGAACACUCACUUCCGGGUUUGUGGCGUUUGAAAGCCAAAACGUAUGAGGGUACCAAGGCGUUCAGGGUCCAAGGUACGACUGUAUUAUUUUAAAGUAAGAAAUAACACAAUAACAGAAACCGAAUUGAAAUCCCCACUACAGUUGAGAUGAAAUUGCUCAGAUUAUUGUAAAUGGAUUUUAUUUAUUUUUUUACUGGAAGAGACCGUGGCGGGAACCACAAUAUAUUCCAGGGAAAGUGACCCACCUGAUUUGGCUUCUGCACUCUUUAACCUUGAGAGCGACCUUUUACAUUUCCCUGAUAUGCCCUCACUCACAGAACUCAGCCCAGUGAUUCUUCAUAAGUGAGAACCUCUUGUUUUUCUGUGUCUGGCUUUGCCAACUUUGGCCAUCAUUUUUUUUUAUUAAAAAAAAAAAUACAAUGCCAAGUCAUUGCAAUUGGCUUUUAAAAAGCAUUCAAGCAAUAUGUUCUUGAUACCGACAAACCAUUUAUGAGCUAAGCAUGAAGCAUUGUGAUCUAGCCCUUCUAUGAUCUCUCCCCCCUCCAUGUGUUCCUCACUUUUAUUCCCAACCCCUAACAUACACUUGAUUUUUAUUGUCUGUGUUCCUUAUGGAUUUUUUGCCCUCCUGUUAUUGCACAGUAUUUGUGAAUUUUAAAAGGUAAAAUGUUUUUAAAUAAAUACCAAAUUUGGGUCCUAACGAUGACAUAAAACAAGUUUUCAUUAUUGAGAUAUUAUGGCACUUAUGCUCACUUUAGUAAAUGUAAUGUAAAAUAUUAAUAAUAUUGAUGAUGUGUACGCAAAUUUAAUAUACAUGGUCUCAUGUAAGAUAAAUAUUUGCCUUUUUUUCUAAAAGGUGUAUGUAUUCUGUAAGUGGAAUAGUCUUUAGAAAGUUUCUAUAUGUUCUUUAAAAAAAAAUGGCAAUACAUUCCAAAAAAGGUACUGUAAAUAUGUACAGACUCAGAGUACAAUGUAAUUUGGUAGUUUUGCCUGUAAUUUUAUUUUAAAUUCAGUUUCUACACUUGCAUCUUGCAAUGUCUGUAUGGUUAUAAGAGUGCAAAGCAAAAAAAAAAAAAAUGCAGGUAAAAAGCACAGAACAUAAUGUUAAGGAAAAAAAGAGAAAAAAAUACUCAGCAUUUGAUGUUUGUGAACUUUAUUGUAAAUGACAUCUGUACUGUGAAUGAAAAAAAAAGUUUUUACACGUAUAUUGCCUUUACUACAGUUCAGAUUGUCUAUUCAGUCUGAGCCUAUUUUUUAAAAAAACAGCACGUUGGAAUAAAUUUUAAAGUCCCAACAUA